GCUGUGGCUCAGUGGCAGAGCACCUGCCUUGCAUGCAGAAGGUCUCAGGUUCAAUUCCUGGCAUCUCCA
rnacentral:tRNA from 1 species